rnacentral:lncRNA from 1 species
CUCCUUUCAGUUUGCCUCUUCGGUCUGGGUCAGUUACCAGGUGUGCCUUUCACAAAAGGAGUUAAAGCUAUUCUUGUGAGGGUAAGCUAUGUUUUAAGGUUUAUGAAAGCUGCAUCUGCGCUGACAUAGCCAUCUCUCCCGGAAACACCUGGGUCAGGCUGCCUCACAGACCUCCUACCUGACGUCUAGUAUUGGCCCUGUGAGAUACUUUUGUGGGCCUGUGGCUAUCAUUCUUGUAUAGUAUACUGUACAAAGGAUAUGGCAUUUUAAUGAGUCUGAGUAAGGCCGGGAAGUUAUGAUGAAACAAAUGAAGGCAGGGUCAUUUGUGUUUAAUUCAUUUAAUCCUUAGGAUGGCCCAGUUAUUUCAUGGGCCAUUCUGUAUUACAGUUGUAAAUAGGCCAAAGUAGAGUGAAUACUUCAGUCCAAUCUUUCAACUACUUCAAGAAAAACAACCUGAUUGAAUCAAUUGUACUAACUUCAUGAUUCAAGGUGAAGAAACUAAGAAUCAGAGGAGUUCUAACUGAGCCAUGAGGACUCGAUUCCUGAAAACCUUAUUUAUAAAAAACAGGAAUGGGAACUAAAACAAGGCAACCUGUGCAAGCCCUUACAAGUUUUUCAUGUAUUACAGUAAAAGGUAAAGCAACUUAAAAACCACUUGACAUUUUUUAACAUUUGUAAAAUUUUGUAAUGCACAGUUGUCUCUCAUUUACCAUCCCUUGCUAGAAACUUCUUAGGCUCACCCUUCACUGCAUUUCCAACAUUAUUUUGCUGAUAAUGUAUACGCCCAAGUGACAUGUUUUCAUUUGGCUUAACUUUCAAUGCCUUUUUGAUUUUAUGAUCUAGUCCUUUAUUGCUGGACCCUUGAAUUGUAUCUAGUCUUCUGCUAUUACAAAAAAUGCUGAAUCAAAUAAACCUGAACAUGUAACAUCAUAAACGUGCAGUUAUAUUUGCACAGCAGGUCACCAGAGUGGGAUGGCUGGGUCAAAGAAAGGUUUAUUUAACCUGAACAGUAUUUCUUAAAACCCUCUUUCCUUUUUCUGAUACAUUACCAAUACAGCCUUAGCUCUAUAAUUAACUCUUAUGCCAAAGCUAGGACUGCAGUGUUGGCUCUCAGAUUUAGGGAGCAAUUGCUGACAUGUGGGUUAUUAUUAUUCCUCAGUUCCCUUUAUCACUCCCAAACCUUAGUUGCAGAUUUCUACAUUUAUUCUAGUAUAAGCUUUAGCUCCCUUAACUAUUUCUAACACAUUUUUCUUUUUCAAUUGUCUCCGUUAGACUGUUGAAAUUUAUAGAUGAACACCAUAACCUUUGAAAUUCUGGCUGAGAAGGUACAUGGUUACAGAUUCAAAUUUUAUGCAGAGGGGAACUUACAGGGGCACAAAAUCAGGAUACAGUUAUUCUUUCUAUUCGCCAUCUGUUACAUUCUCAACCUUUUUUUGCGGUCACCAAUGAAUGAGGAAAAGUUCUGAAAUGAGUUUUAAGAUACUGCUGGUAAUUUCUAAGUAUUAUUUAAAACUAUGAUCUAAACAGAAGAAAAGGGAGUAUCAGGUUACUUUUUUCUGGGUUAAAUCUUUUUGGGGGAAAGGUAGUAGAAAUGUAACUGAAGCGUUACUUCAAUAUUGCUACAAAGUAAAGUUUGGGAAAUUAUCGCUGUUUACAUAGUAGAGGGAAGCAAGUAGAAUUCCAGAUUUUAGCCAUAGAAGGUUUAGAUCAGAUUCUCUGGCAUUAAGGAGCUGACAGUUCAGGAGUGUAAAAAGAAUUUAAAGUAAACUACCUGAUGCCUUGUCUCUAAGUGCCAAGUGUUUUUUUUUUUUUUUUAAAUACUCUGCUAGUGGUUGGGCACGGUGUGUCACGCCUGUAAUCCCAGGACUUUGGGAGGCCAAGGUGGGCAGAUAACGAGGUCAGGACUUAGUUAGAGACCAGACUGGCCAACAUGGUGAAACCCCAUCUCUACUACAAAUACAAAAAAUAGCUGGGUGUGGUGGCAGGCUCCUGUUAACCCAGCUACUUGGGAGGCUGAGGCAGGAAAAUCAUUUGAACCUGUGAGGCGGAGGUUGCAGUGAACCAAGAUCAUGCCAUUGCACUCCAGCCUGGGCAACAGGGCAAGACUCUGUCUCAAAAACAAACAAACAAACAAAAAACCACUAUGCCAACGUAGAAAGAAAUUAAAGUAAACCUUAAUGAAAAGUAUACCACACAUCUCUUUCUUGCCUGUGGUUCUGAACAGGCUAUACAAGCUCACCUGCUAUAGAAAGAGCAUUUGGAACUUAGGCAAAAAUCUCGGUGGACUCUAGUUAACAUGUGUUCAUUUAGAGCAGGGUUUGGCAAGCAUUUUUCUGUAAUGGGCCACAGAGUAAAUUUUUAUAGUAAAUUUUUAUGUUUUGCAGGGCAUAUGGUCUUAGCAGCAAAACACAUGGCCAUGGCUAUGUUCCAAUAAAACUUUACUGAAGCAGGUGGUGACUUUAUUUGGCCUGAGGGCCAUUUGCUGACCUAUGAUUUAGAUAAUAUAUUACAUAUUUUUUCCCCCAAAUGCUCUAACAUUUAUUUAUUUUUUUUAGAUGGAAUCUUGCUCUGUUGCCCAGGCUGGAGUGCAGUGGUGUGAUCUUGCCUCACUGCAACCUCCACCUCCCAGGUUCAAGCAAAUCUCUGCCCCAGCCUCCCUAGUAGCUGGGAUUACAGGCAUCCACCACCAUGCCCGGCUAAUUUUUGUAUUUUUAGUAGAGACCGGGUUUCACUAUCUUGGCCAGGCUGGUCUUGAACUCCUGACCUCAUGAUCCACCCACCUCAGGUUCCUAAAGUGCUGGGAUUACAGGCUUGAGCCACUGCAACCAGCCUUUAACAUUUAUUAAACAUGCCAACUUUUUGAUAUAUGGGGGGAGUAAAGACAUCUUAAUCACUUUUACAGAUUUUACAAAGAAUAUAUUUUGGCUAUUAGCAGAAAUAGAAAAGAGGGCACAGAAUUCUAGCUAGAAGGAACGGAAUCAGGAAAGGCAGGGAGAUGUGACUUCAUAGCACACAGGGAAACUGAAAAAGGUGAACAGGACUGAGAACUGUGACAGAAAAGGAGGACUUAGGAAGGGAAAUGAGCUUUGACAGAAGAAUGAAUUUGAUUUUCGAACUUUUAGAGUUUGGAGGUAAUGGUUAAACAUCCAAGUAGAAUACAUGGAGUUAUCUUAAUACUUGGCACACUACGAACACUCACUGUUAGCUAACUGCGAGCUUCUCGUGAGCUAUUAGAAAUAGAAUAUUAGUGUUAGACUGAGGUUACGGCUGGGGAACUUGCAAGGGAAAAUAUUGAAAACUUAUGGAAGCAGAUUCCUUCAAAGAACUAAGAAGCGAGUACAGUUGAUCCUCAAACAACAUGGAUAUGAA